rnacentral:rRNA from 1 species
GACGAACGCUGGCGGCGUGCUUAACACAUGCAAGUCGAACGGAAAGGCCCUGCUUUUGUGGGGUGCUCGAGUGGCGAACGGGUGAGUAACACGUGAGUAACCUGCCCUUGACUUUGGGAUAACUUCAGGAAACUGGGGCUAAUACCGGAUAGGAGCUCCUGCUGCAUGGUGGGGGUUGGAAAGUUUCGGCGGUUGGGGAUGGACUCGCGGCUUAUCAGCUUGUUGGUGGGGUAGUGGCUUACCAAGGCUUUGACGGGUAGCCGGCCUGAGAGGGUGAGCGGACGGGUGAGAGUAGAUAGAAGGCAGGGAGGCCUCCGGGAGGCAGAAGUGGGGGAGAGUGCAGUAUGGUCGGAAGCCGUAUGCCGCCCUGCCGUGUCGCGGAGUAAGGUAUACGGGAGGGAGAACGCAUUCACGGGUCACGAAGGGUGAAGGAGGGUAAUGGGUAAAGAAGCAACGACUAACUCCGUG